AUUGAACGCUGGCGGCAGGCCUAACACAUGCAAGUCGAGCGAGCGGCGGACGGGUGAGUAAUGUAUGGGGACUGCCCGAUAGAGGGGGAUCACUACUGGAAACGGUAGCUAAUACCGCAUACUAUCGGAUAACCCAUAUGGGAUUAGCUAGUAGGUGAGGUAAUGGCUCACCUAGUCGACGAUCCCUAGCUGGUCUGAGAGGAUGAUAAGCCAAAUUGGGAUGGGGACACGGCCAAGACUCCUACGGGGGCAGCAGUGGGGAAUAUGGGACAAUGGGCGCAAGCCGGACGCACCCAUGCCGCGGGGAUGAGGAAGGCCUGAGGGUGGUAAAGUACUUUCAGGCGGGAGGCGUUACCGACAGAAGAAGCACCGGCUAACUACGUGCCAGCCGCCGCGGUAAUAC
rnacentral:rRNA from 1 species